GGGGAUCCCACCGAACAAUGAUGGAGGAUACAUUGUCGGAUGUAGCUGAUUCAGCAAUGACGUUGGUUGGAGGUGCAGGUGCUCAUGGGCACAUUACUCGCGGUAACGAGGUGUCACGCAUUUUGUCCGAGCACGACUUGACGAGCUGAAGAUCACGAAUCGUUUGUGUAAAAGAUGUCAUCAAUGAAUGCGGUCCUUGCACGACUCUUGUCGGUGUGGGAAGAUGGGACGACACAUCAUCUAAUGCUUUUAUGAUUGUUGAUGUCUCUAUCUUGUACUGAAAACUGAAAAGCUGAAAGGUACAUUGUUUUCUAAGAACUAAUGUAAUAUGAUAAGAAGAAGAGAAAGAAAUAGAAGGGAGGAGAAAGCCUUAAACGGACUGAUCCUCGAAUUUCUCAAAUGUUUUGUUUUUUGCAUCUGAUUAUUAGAAUUUACUGUCUAAUGUGUUUCAAAAGUUUCACAAAAACAUAAGGUUACAUAUCAUGACAGAAACUCAUUAUAGAGAGUUUAUUAUUAAUUUUGUGUGUAAACAACGUUUGAGGUUUGAAAUUGUUGGCACAGUUUAAAAUUUGUGGUUUUAAUGAUAUAUAUCACAUUUCAAGUAUCCUUUAGGUAAAUUGUGCCAUUUAAAAGUUAAAUUUGUGUUUGUGCAAAGUUAGGAUGCUUUAAAUUUCAUUAGUUUGUAUACAUGCAUAAGGCCUGUGUCUUGUUUACGUAACAGAGUUAGGGCUAAAAUAUUGCUCUUUAGAAGGUCCAAAUCUUGGUUGUCAAUUUUAACUGAUUAAUAAUUUUAAUGUUUGAUAUCAAAAAUGAAAAAAAAGAAGUUUAUAUUAAAAAUGUUAAUCAUCCCAUUAAAGUAUUUUCGUUUGUAUAAGUUCUUGCCUGGGCAUUAGAUCAUUUUAUCGACUUUAUGGUAAGAGAGGUUCAACAUCUUGACCCAGAAAGAUCAGUGAAAUUCGCCACUAGGGUCUAAUUUUCCAGGAUGCUAUGCACUCUUAAUAUUAAACUGAACAUGUGUUUUAUAGAAUUGUCCGUAUACGUCCCCAGAUCGUUAGGAAAUCUCCAAAUCGAUAGAAAAUCCCGCAUUUUACGUAAUGAUGCCCAAGAAGAUUUGCAUAUAAACACAGAAUGUACAGUGUAACGGUGAACAAACGCUGAAGGAUUUGGGAACGAACGCUUUUGAUUCUGGUGGGUGAUCGAAUGCUGGACGGUUCUUGGUGAGACCGAAACGAUGAGAGAGAGAGAGAGAGAGAGAGAGAGAGAGAUCUCAAAUCGACAUAUGCAAAUCACGAAUGAAUGACUGAAUCAUGAAUGAAAAUCAAUAUUUUUAAUUCAAACAUAUUUUAUUGAGAAACUCAACAGGAUUGGGCAACAGGCAGAGCCUAUGUAGGCCCUCUCCCAAAUACAAAAGUCAAGUACAAAGGUAUGAUAUAAAGGUAUAAAGAGGAUUUUUAAAGAUUUAACAAUAUUGUAAUAAGGUUUACAUGAAAAUAGUUAAUAAGAGUUUUGUUGAAUUUUGCUAUGAAUUGAUUUUUUAUAGAUCAACAUGUUCUACACAUACUUACAUAACCCUCCACCUAGAGUCACACACAUACAUAAAUACAUAUAAUAUAGAUCAAUACUAAGGUAGAUCAAUCCAGCCCGUUAGAAGAAAAAUGAAAAUAAAUAAUUUGUAAAGAAAAAAUAUUU